GAGGUUAUGGUGUAGCGGCAGCAUAGCGGACUUUUAAUCCGUAAAGCGUGGGUUCACACCCCACAGGCCUCA
rnacentral:tRNA from 2 species